rnacentral:rRNA from 1 species
UACGGAGGGAGCGAGCGUUAAUCGGAAUUACUGGGCGUAAAGCGCGUGUAGGCGGGCAGGCAAGUCUGAUGUGAAAGCCCCGGGCUUAACCUGGGAAUUGCAGUGGAAACUGCUAUUCUUGAGUGCUGGAGAGGAAAGGGGAAUUCCCGGUGUAGAGGUGAAAUUCGUAGAGAUCGGGAGGAAUACCAGUGGCGAAGGCGCCCUUCUGGACGGCAACUGACGCUGAGACGCGAAAGCGUGGGGAGCAAACAGG